rnacentral:lncRNA from 1 species
CUGUUGUUUUUAGACCGUAGGCCUUGCUACUGCUAGUAGUUAUCCAAUAUUGGUUCUAGAUGGAUAUAGUCUACCUUUUUUCUCUAGAUUUCCUGUCGGGAAAAUGAUCAUGUUAACAGUGCUGGUCAAGCCAUUACAUUUUUCUUUUGUUUCACGAUUUUAUCAAAAUUGUCAAAGUUGUGGAGUGAAUUAAAAACAGAAUAAGCUCAUAUUAAUAACAGAUGUAGAAUAAUAUUGUUAACUUUUUCAUUCCUGAAUCGGUAUAUUCAGGUAUGAAAAAGGCCCCAUUAGCCUCGUACACGUUGAAAAGCCUCCCACAAUUAUUGACCAAUCAACGAUCGAUGCCAAGUGACGAUAAACAAUUGCACCAUACGAGUCAAGUGUAGCAAUUUUAGGGGUAAUCAAAACAGUCACCUCCCAAAUUAGACUGAAUAUGUUGAAAUAUUAACUACAAUUUGCUGUAAGGCUUUUCUCAGAUGAGAAUAUGGUUUUCCUUUUUUUUUUUUUUGUACCGAAUUCGGCCGUAAUAUGGAAGCGAGGGCUGGGCUCUGAUUGGCUGGAUUUUUGGACAAGGUAUGGCAAAACGCAAAGGUGAAUGUAAGACAGGAUGGUCAAAUGAUCCUACUCAUGGUGGGGUUCAAGGAAUAUCAUAAUGCAAUCUUUGCUGUUGGAUAGGGCUACUGGCAUAAAAUGUCUAAAAUCUCACUAACAUGUGUUCUUCAAAACCACGCCCCCAAGCAACUGUUCCUCUUGUCAGGAAGCCCCCGCCAGUUUAGUGCAUGACCAAAGGCAUCUGAUGUCACUUUUACUACCGCCACCACCACCACCACUAGUUCUCACUGUCCCCUGCACUUUCGUUCUGCUGGUACUAUUGAAGUGACCCCUUCGCACAACAAUGCACUGCAUUAAAGGUCUAAGGACCACUAAUAGAGGGAUUCUUCUGUUACUUAAAAAUGCUGGAAACUCUGCCCGGGUUGGCGCUGAAAACACGGCGUUGUACAGGACACAUCCCGGGCAGUUGUUCUGGUGGAGCUCAGCAUCGCAGCUCCAGCGAUCCUUUCAUCAGACGACUCAUAAAGAAGAACAACGGGGCAAAAACAGGUUGAUACAUGGCCUGGAGGACCUGCUCUUCUACACCAUCACAGAUGGCAAAGACCAAAUCCCCCUGCCCCAGUUCAUUUCUGUAAGUCCAUCACACAUUUUGCUAUAUUUAUUGUGUGUGUGUGUGUGUGUGUGUGUGUGUGUGUGUGUGUGUGUGUGUGUGUGUGUGUGUGUGUGUGUGUGUGUGUGUGUGUGUGAAUGCACACUUGUGCAUUCAAGUGUGCAUCUUUGCGUGUGUGUGUUUGUAUGUGUUGUGAAUGUCCAAACACAUUGUCCUAAGAAGCCAAUGGCAACGCAUGGAUGCUAA